CCCCAUCCAUAACCCUGCAAAAGAGGGAUAGUGAGAGAAAGGGGUAGAGAGAACCUAGAGAGAGGAGAAAUGAUGAACCGCCGGAAGACUCACCGAAAACUACCGUCGGAGUCUAUUCCGGUGAGGAUCAUGAUGCAAGGAGGUGAAGAUCAUGCAUAGAGACUUUCUUGGAAGGGAAAAGAGAAUGUGGGUGGCCGGAGUCCCAUUUUUCAUCAAGAAGUCGGAAAACCCGCAAGGAACAACUCUAUGCAUGAUCUAUGAAGAAGUUUGGCCGAAACCUCAACCCGAAGGCGGAGAUUCGAGAGUCGUCCGAGAACGGGACUUAAUUUAGAGAAAUCAGUAGUUUUGGACACCUCACGGGCAAAGAAACGCUAGCGAAAGGGCACGCGUCAACCAGGUGUUCACUGGCUGCUGGUCGAGGUAGAGGAGCGUUUGAGAGCUAUACAGUCACAGAGGGGGUCGUUCCGGAGCGUCAGUCCCUUUUCGGUCUUUUAGAGUCUUUUGUAUUUCAUUUUAUAUUUGCAAUUUCUUUUGUAAUAAUUAACAAACAAAAUUUCUCUC